UUUGCUGAAAGAUUUGGGGGCAGACUCAGAUUUCACAGAUGCUGCUAUGUGCAUGCUGUGGUAGCUGAUAAAGAAAAAAGGAGCUGCAGUGACCAUUGCUGACCUGCCAACGGAAUAAAAUCCAGAUGCCUUAAGGU